rnacentral:rRNA from 1 species
UACGGAGGGUGCGAGCGUUAAUCGGAAUUACUGGGCGUAAAGCGCAUGCAGGUGGUUGUUAAGUCAGAUGUGAAAGCCCGGGGCUCAACCUCGGAAUUGCAUUUGAAAACUGGCAAACUAGAGUACUGUAGAGGGGGUAGAAUUUCAGGUGUAGCGGUGAAAAUGCGUAGAGAUCUGAAGGAAUACCGGUGGCGAAGGCGGCCCCCUGGACAGAUACUGACACUCAGAUGCGAAAGCGUGGGGAGCAAACAGGAUUAGAUACCCUGGUAG